rnacentral:rRNA from 1 species
CAGGCGGCAUGCUUACCAUGCAGUCGACGGUGAAGCUCAGCUUGCUGGGUGGAUCAGUGGCGAACGGGUGAGUAACACGUGAGCAACCUGCCCCGGACUCUGGGAUAAGCGCUGGAAACGGCGUCUAAUACUGGAUAUGAACUGCGACCGCAUGGUCAGUGGUUGGAAAGAUUUUUCGGUCUGGGAUGGGCUCGCGGCCUAUCAGCUUGUUGGUGAGGUAAUGGCUCACCAAGGCGUCGACGGGUAGCCGGCCUGAGAGGGUGACCGGCCACACUGGGACUGAGACACGGCCCAGACUCCUACGGGAGGCAGCAGUGGGGAAUAUUGCACAAUGGGCGGAAGCCUGAUGCAGCAACGCCGCGUGAGGGAUGACGGCCUUCGGGUUGUAAACCUCUUUUAGCAAGGAAGAAGCGAAAGUGACGGUACUUGCAGAAAAAGCGCCGGCUAACUACGUGCCAGCAGCCGCGGUAAUACGUAGGGCGCAAGCGUUAUCCGGAAUUAUUGGGCGUAAAGAGCUCGUAGGCGGUUUGUCGCGUCUGCUGUGAAAUCCCGAGGCUCAACCUCGGGCCUGCAGUGGGUACGGGCAGACUAGAGUGCGGUAGGGGAGAUUGGAAUUCCUGGUGUAGCGGUGGAAUGCGCAGAUAUCAGGAGGAACACCGAUGGCGAAGGCAGAUCUCUGGGCCGUAACUGACGCUGAGGAGCGAAAGGGUGGGGAGCAAACAGGCUUAGAUACCCUGGUAGUCCACCCCGUAAACGUUGGGAACUAGUUGUGGGGUCCAUUCCACGGAUUCCGUGACGCAGCUAACGCAUUAAGUUCCCCGCCUGGGGAGUACGGGCCGCAAGGCUAAACUCAGAGGAUAUAGUGA